GACGAACGCUGGCGGCGUGCUUAACACAUGCAAGUCGAACGCUGAAGCACCAGCUUGCUGGUGUGGAUGAGUGGCGAACGGGUGAGUAAUACGUGAGUAACCUGCCCUUGACUCUGGGAUAAGCCCGGGAAACUGGGUCUAAUACUGGAUGCUACAUGUCACCGCAUGGUGGUGUGUGGAAAGGGUUUACUGGUCUUGGAUGGGCUCACGGCCUAUCAGCUUGUUGGUGAGGUAAUGGCUCACCAAGGCGACGACGGGUAGCCGGCCUGAGAGGGUGACCGGCCACACUGGGACUGAGACACGGCCCAGACUCCUACGGGAGGCAGCAGUGGGGAAUAUUGCACAAUGGGCGAAAGCCUGAUGCAGCGACGCCGCGUGAGGGAUGACGGCCUUCGGGUUGUAAACCUCUUUUAGCAGGGAAGAAGCCACAAGUGACGGUACCUGCAGAAGAAGCGCCGGCUAACUACGUG
rnacentral:rRNA from 1 species